AUGAAUAGGUGGCUGAAGCAUCAACCGGAAGAAAUCCUUGAUCAGGAAGAGAAAGCUUCAAUCAAGAACGUAUCAUCCAGUCAUGCAAAGGGAAGAAGAAGCGGCAACAACCUCGUCGAGGACGGUCGCAGAAGCAUCAGUCCUCCGGGCGCGGCGGACACCACAGCCACGACACGCCGCUCCUCCGAGCGGGCCUCGGCCCGGCUCUCCACAGAGCAGCCGCAUCACGCGGUGGAGGUGGCCCGCGCUCAAGUCCGAGCAACGGCGGCGUCCUCGCGUACGAGGUUUGGUGGCGCCUGGAUCCUCUCCCUGGCCCGGCGAGCCCUCGUGUCCGCCGCCGACGGCGGUAAUUUUCCCCUCAGGAACCGCACGAGAAGAAGAUUGGGGCAACCUUAUCCAUUCUGGCGAUUUUCGGUUUGGUUCUCCAACUUCCUAGUAUUCACAUAUUAG
rnacentral:rRNA from 1 species